ACAGGACCUAGCGUUACCUCACACACUGUCCAAACAACCCUGUGUUCUGGGCAACAGCUCUAAAGAAGGUCUAUUUGACAUCGAUGUAACAGCUUAUUCCAAUGACACAGUUUGUAAAGUUGAUCAAGAGAACAGUUACCUGGAAUGCUGCAUGUACUCUGAUGUACUUGAUAGAAAUCUCUGGCUGAGCUUCACUCUCAACCCUUGUAACUACAUGAUAGAGGUCAAUGUGGAAAAUAUCAACAAGAAAUAUGAAAUGCUCAACUACAACUGGGAAACAAGAUAUUAUGUGGUGCUAAAGGGGUGUUUGGGGUGAG